rfam:Pan troglodytes isolate Yerkes chimp pedigree #C0471 (Clint) chromosome 10, whole genome shotgun sequence.
GCCAGGCGUGGUGGCUCACGCCUGUAAUCCCAACACUUUGGGAGGCCGAGGCGGGUGGAUCACCUGAGGUCAGGAGUUCAAGACCAGCCUGGCCAACAUGGUGAAACCCUGUCUCUA